rnacentral:rRNA from 1 species
UUCCUUCCACCACAACAACACCUUAUUCUCCCUACCCAAAUUGCCCUCAUGUGGGCGGCAUAACCAUUGCCAAACGAUUGCUAAUACCGCAUAAUGCCUACUGGCCAAAUAGGGGGACCUUCGGGCCUCUCGCGUCAAGAUAUGCCUAGGUGGGAUUAGCUAGUUGGUGAGGUAAUGGCUCACCAAGGCGACGAUCCCUAGCUGGUCUGAGAGGAUGAUCAGCCACACUGGAACUGAGACACGGUCCAGACUCCUACGGGAGGCAGCAGUGGGGAAUAUUGCACAAUGGGCGCAAGCCUGAUGCAGCCAUGCCGCGUGUAUGAAGAAGGCCUUCGGGUUGUAAAGUACUUUCAGCAGUGAGGAAGGAGGUGUCGUUAAUAGCGGCAUCUCUUGACGUUAGCUGCAGAAGAAGCACCGGCUAACUCCGUGCCAGCAGCCGCGGUAAUACGGAGGGUGCGAGCGUUAAUCGGAAUUACUGGGCG